rnacentral:ncRNA from 2 species
UGCUUAUCGAGAUAAGACGGAGGGAAAGGCCCCAUGAAGUCUUGGCAACCUGUACAAAUUUCAUAUAAUGUAAAAGGUGCUAAUUCCUGCUCCUAUAAAAGGAGAAAGAUAAGAA